rnacentral:sRNA from 1 species
GCGGAGGAAAAGAAACCAACAGGGAUUGCCCUAGUAACGGCGAGUGAAGCGGCAACAGCUCAAAUUUGAAAUCUGGCGUCUUUGGCGUCCGAGUUGUAAUUUGCAGAGGGCGCUUUGGCAUUGGCAGCGGUCCAAGUUCCUUGGAACAGGACGUCACAGAGGGUGAGAAUCCCGUACGUGGUCGCUAGCCUUUACCGUGUAAAGCCCCUUCGACGAGUCGAGUUGUUUGGGAAUGCAGCUCUAAAUGGGAGGUAAAUUUCUUCUAAAGCUAAAUACUGGCCAGAGACCGAUAGCGCACAAGUAGAGUGAUCGAAAGAUGAAAAGCACUUUGGAAAGAGAGUUAAAAAGCACGUGAAAUUGUUGAAAGGGAAGCGCUUGCAGCCAGACUUGCCUGUAGUUGCUCAUCCGGGUUUUUACCCGGUGCACUCUUCUACGGGCAGGCCAGCAUCAGUUUGGGCGGUUGGAUAAAGGUCUCUGUCAUGUACCUCCUCUCGGGGAGAACUUAUAGGGGAGACGACAUGCAACCAGCCCGGACUGAGGUCCGCGCAUCUGCUAGGAUGCUGGCGUAAUGGCUGUAAGCGGCCCGUCUUGAAACACGGACCAAGGAGUCUAACAUCUAUGCGAGUGUUUGGGUGUCAAGCCCGAGCGCGUAAUGAAAGUGAACGGAGGUGGGAACCUUUCGGGGUGCACCAUCGACCGAUCCUGAUGUCUUCGGAUGGAUUUGAGUAAGAGCAUAGCUGUUGGGACCCGAAAGAUGGUGAACUAUGCUUGAAUAGGGUGAAGCCAGAGGAAACUCUGGUGGAGGCUCGCAGCGGUUCUGACGUGCAAAUCGAUCGUCAAAUUUGGGCAUAGGGGCGAAAGACUAAUCGAACUAUCUAGUAGCUGGUUCU